GGUUGUGUAGCUCAACAUGGUGAGAGCACCCGCCUUAUAAGCGGGAGGUUGGUGGUUCAAGCCCACCCACAACCA
rnacentral:tRNA from 1 species